rnacentral:rRNA from 1 species
AGCGUACACGGUGGAUGCCCUGGCAGUCAGAGGCGAUGAAGGACGUGCUAAUCUGCGAUAAGCGUCGGUAAGGUGAUAUGAACCGUUAUAACCGGCGAUUUCCGAAUGGGGAAACCCAGUGUGUUUCGACACACUAUCAUUAACUGAAUCCAUAGGUUAAUGAGGCGAACCGGGGGAACUGAAACAUCUAAGUACCCCGAGGAAAAGAAAUCAACCGAGAUUCCCCCAGUAGCGGCGAGCGAACGGGGAGCAGCCCAGAGCCUGAAUCAGUGUGUGUGUUAGUGGAAGCGUCUGGAAAGGCGCGCGAUACAGGGUGACAGCCCCGUACACAAAAAUACACAUAUUGUGAGCUCGAUGAGUAGGGCGGGACACGUGGUAUCCUGUCUGAAUAUGGGGGGACCAUCCUCCAAGGCUAAAUACUCCUGACUGACCGAUAGUGAACCAGUACCGUGAGGGAAAGGCGAAAAGAACCCCGGCGAGGGGAGUGAAAAAGAACCUGAAACCGUGUACGUACAAGCAGUGGGAGCACGCUUAGGCGUGUGACUGCGUACCUUUUGUAUAAUGGGUCAGCGACUUAUAUUCUGUAGCAAGGUUAACCGAAUAGGGGAGCCGAAGGGAAACCGAGUCUUAACUGGGCGUUAAGUUGCAGGGUAUAGACCCGAAACCCGGUGAUCUAGCCAUGGGCAGGUUGAAGGUUGGGUAACACUAACUGGAGGACCGAACCGACUAAUGUUGAAAAAUUAGCGGAUGACUUGUGGCUGGGGGUGAAAGGCCAAUCAAACCGGGAGAUAGCUGGUUCUCCCCGAAAGCUAUUUAGGUAGCGCCUCGUGAAUUCAUCUCCGGGGGUAGAGCACUGUUUCGGCAAGGGGGUCAUCCCGACUUACCAACCCGAUGCAAACUGCGAAUACCGGAGAAUGUUAUCACGGGAGACACACGGCGGGUGCUAACGUCCGUCGUGAAGAGGGAAACAACCCAGACCGCCAGCUAAGGUCCCAAAGUCAUGGUUAAGUGGGAAACGAUGUGGGAAGGCCCAGACAGCCAGGAUGUUGGCUUAGAAGCAGCCAUCAUUUAAAGAAAGCGUAAUAGCUCACUGGUCGAGUCGGCCUGCGCGGAAGAUGUAACGGGGCUAAACCAUGCACCGAAGCUGCGGCAGCGACACUAUGUGUUGUUGGGUAGGGGAGCGUUCUGUAAGCCUGCGAAGGUGUACUGUGAGGUAUGCUGGAGGUAUCAGAAGUGCGAAUGCUGACAUAAGUAACGAUAAAGCGGGUGAAAAGCCCGCUCGCCGGAAGACCAAGGGUUCCUGUCCAACGUUAAUCGGGGCAGGGUGAGUCGACCCCUAAGGCGAGGCCGAAAGGCGUAGUCGAUGGGAAACAGGUUAAUAUUCCUGUACUUGGUGUUACUGCGAAGGGGGGACGGAGAAGGCUAUGUUGGCCGGGCGACGGUUGUCCCGGUUUAAGCGUGUAGGCUGGUUUUCCAGGCAAAUCCGGAAAAUCAAGGCUGAGGCGUGAUGACGAGGCACUACGGUGCUGAAGCAACAAAUGCCCUGCUUCCAGGAAAAGCCUCUAAGCAUCAGGUAACAUCAAAUCGUACCCCAAACCGACACAGGUGGUCAGGUAGAGAAUACCAAGGCGCUUGAGAGAACUCGGGUGAAGGAACUAGGCAAAAUGGUGCCGUAACUUCGGGAGAAGGCACGCUGAUAUGUAGGUGAAGCGACUUGCUCGUGGAGCUGAAAUCAGUCGAAGAUACCAGCUGGCUGCAACUGUUUAUUAAAAACACAGCACUGUGCAAACACGAAAGUGGACGUAUACGGUGUGACGCCUGCCCGGUGCCGGAAGGUUAAUUGAUGGGGUCAGCGCAAGCGAAGCUCUUGAUCGAAGCCCCGGUAAACGGCGGCCGUAACUAUAACGGUCCUAAGGUAGCGAAAUUCCUUGUCGGGUAAGUUCCGACCUGCACGAAUGGCGUAAUGAUGGCCAGGCUGUCUCCACCCGAGACUCAGUGAAAUUGAACUCGCUGUGAAGAUGCAGUGUACCCGCGGCAAGACGGAAAGACCCCGUGAACCUUUACUAUAGCUUGACACUGAACAUUGAGCCUUGAUGUGUAGGAUAGGUGGGAGGCUUAGAAGUGUGGACGCCAGUCUGCAUGGAGCCGACCUUGAAAUACCACCCUUUAAUGUUUGAUGUUCUAACGUUGACCCGUAAUCCGGGUUGCGGACAGUGUCUGGUGGGUAGUUUGACUGGGGCGGUCUCCUCCUAAAGAGUAACGGAGGAGCACGAAGGUUGGCUAAUCCUGGUCGGACAUCAGGAGGUUAGUGCAAUGGCAUAAGCCAGCUUGACUGCGAGCGUGACGGCGCGAGCAGGUGCGAAAGCAGGUCAUAGUGAUCCGGUGGUUCUGAAUGGAAGGGCCAUCGCUCAACGGAUAAAAGGUACUCCGGGGAUAACAGGCUGAUACCGCCCAAGAGUUCAUAUCGACGGCGGUGUUUGGCACCUCGAUGUCGGCUCAUCACAUCCUGGGGCUGAAGUAGGUCCCAAGGGUAUGGCUGUUCGCCAUUUAAAGUGGUACGCGAGCUGGGUUUAGAACGUCGUGAGACAGUUCGGUCCCUAUCUGCCGUGGGCGCUGGAGAACUGAGGGGGGCUGCUCCUAGUACGAGAGGACCGGAGUGGACGCAUCACUGGUGUUCGGGUUGUCAUGCCAAUGGCACUGCCCGGUAGCUAAAUGCGGAAGAGAUAAGUGCUGAAAGCAUCUAAGCACGAAACUUGCCCCGAGAUGAGUUCU